rnacentral:rRNA from 1 species
AUGACCUACUUUCCGGAGGAGGUGGUGGAGCACAUAUUCAGCUUCUUGCCCGCGCAAUGUGACCGGAACACCGUUUCACUUGUUUGCAAGGUAUGGUAUGAGAUUGAAAGGCUGAGCCGGCGAACUGUCUUUGUGGGUAACUGCUAUGCUGUGCGCCCUGAGCGCGUGGUGCUUCGGUUCCCCAAUGUGCGGGCACUGACAGUGAAGGGGAAACCACACUUCGCUGAUUUCAACCUUGUGCCACCUGAUUGGGGUGGGUACGCCGGACCAUGGAUCGAGGCAGCAGCCAGGGGCUGCGUGGGUCUUGAGGAGCUGCGGAUGAAGCGGAUGGUGGUGUCAGAUGAGAGCCUGGAGCUGCUUGCCAAAUCAUUCCCACGAUUCAGGGCCCUAGUUCUUAUCAGCUGUGAGGGGUUCAGCACCGAUGGACUAGCAGCUAUUGCAAGUCACUGCAAGCUCCUGAGGGAGUUAGAUUUGCAGGAAAAUGAGGUGGAUGAUCGAGGGCCAAGGUGGCUCUCCUGCUUCCCUGAUUCCUGCACGUCCCUUGUCUCCUUGAAUUUCGCCUGCAUCAAAGGGGAGGUUAAUGCUGGUUCAUUAGAGAGACUUGUUGCUAGGUCCCCAAGUCUUCGGAGUUUGAGGUUGAAUCGAUCUGUGUCAGUAGAUACACUCUCGAAGAUAUUAAUGAGCGCCCCUAAUUUGGAGGAUCUAGGGACUGGGAACUUGACAGAUGACUUCCAAGCUGAAUCGUAUCUCAGGCUGACCCUUGCAUUGGAGAAAUGCAAACUGCUGAGGAGUUUAUCGGGCUUUUGGGAUGCUUCGCCUUUGUGCCUUCCAUUCAUCUAUCCUGUAUGUGGGCAACUAACAGGUUUAAACUUGAGCUAUGCUCCGACACUUGAUUCUUCUGAUCUCACCAAAAUGAUCAGCCACUGUGUGAAACUCCAACGUCUUUGGGUACUGGAUUGCAUCGCGGAUAAGGGCUUGCAAGUGGUGGCCUCCAGUUGCAAGGAUCUACAAGAACUCAGGGUAUUCCCAUCAGACUUCUAUAUCGCCGGGUAUUCCCCAGUAACAGAGGAGGGACUUGUUGCAAUAUCCUUGGGCUGUCAAAAACUGAGCUCAUUGCUAUAUUUUUGUCAUCAAAUGACGAAUGCUGCACUGCUUACUAUAGCUAAGAACUGCCCAAAUUUCACGCGGUUCAGACUCUGUAUUCUUGAGCCUGGGAAGCCUGAUGCCAUGACAAACCAACCAUUAGAUGAAGGUUUUGGUGCUAUUGUUCGUGAAUGCAAAGGGCUAAGGCGAUUGUCAAUAUCGGGUCUUCUCACCGACAAGGUUUUCAUGUAUAUUGGUAAAUUCGCGAAACAACUUGAGAUGCUUUCAAUAGCAUUUGCUGGAGAUAGUGAUGCGGGAAUGAUGCAUGUUAUGGAAGGAUGCAAUAAUCUGAGGAAGCUGGAGAUUAGAGAUAGCCCAUUUGGUGAUGCUGCACUCCUGGAGAAUGUUACCAAGUAUGAGACAAUGCGAUCCCUUUGGAUGUCAUCAUGCAAUGUCACAGAAAAGGGGUGCCAAAUCCUUGCAUCAAAGAUGCCAAUGCUUAAUGUGGAGGUUAUAAAUGAGGUAGAUGAGAGCAAUGAAAUGGAUGAGAACCAUGGAAUCCCCAAAGUUGACAAGUUAUAUGUUUACCGCACAACUGCUGGGGCAAGGGAUGAUGCGCCAAAUUUUGUUAAAAUCCUAUAG